rnacentral:rRNA from 1 species
AGCAGUCGCCGCGGUAAUACGGAGGGUGCAAGCGUUAUCCGGAUUUAUUGGGUUUAAAGGGUCCGUAGGCGGAUCUGUAAGUCAGUGGUGAAAUCUCACAGCUUAACUGUGAAACUGCCAUUGAUACUGCAGGUCUUGAGUAAAUUUGAAGUGGCUGGAAUAAGUAGUGUAGCGGUGAAAUGCAUAGAUAUUACUUAGAACACCAAUUGCGAAGGCAGGUCACUAAGAUUUAACUGACGCUGAUGGACGAAAGCGUGGGGAGCGAACAGGAUUAGAGACCCCGGUAGUCCCUGUCUCUUAUAC